CAGCUACACAUGCAAGUCGAGCGGUAGCACAGAGAGCUUGCUCUCGGGUGACGAGCGGCGGACGGGUGAGUAAUGUCUGGGAAACUGCCUGAUGGAGGGGGAUAACUACUGGAAACGGUAGCUAAUACCGCAUAACGUCGCAAGACCAAAGUGGGGGACCUUCGGGCCUCAUGCCAUCAGAUGUGCCCAGAUGGGAUUAGCUAGUAGGUGGGGUAACGGCUCACCUAGGCGACGAUCCCUAGCUGGUCUGAGAGGAUGACCAGCCACACUGGAACUGAGACACGGUCCAGACUCCUACGGGAGGCAGCAGUGGGGAAUAUUGCACAAUGGGCGCAAGCCUGAUGCAGCCAUGCCGCGUGUGUGAAGAAGGCCUUCGGGUUGUAAAGCACUUUCAGCGGGGAGGAAGGCGUUAAGGUUAAUAACCUUGUCGAUUGACGUUACCCGCAGAAGAAGCACCGGCUAACUCCGUGCCAGCAGCCGCGGUAAUACGGAGGGUGCAAGCGUUAAUCGGAAUUACUGGGCGUAAAGCGCACGCAGGCGGUCUGUCAAGUCGGAUGUGAAAUCCCCGGGCUCAACCUGGGAACUGCAUUCGAAACUGGCAGGCUAGAGUCUUGUAGAGGGGGGUAGAAUUCCAGGUGUAGCGGUGAAAUGCGUAGAGAUCUGGAGGAAUACCGGUGGCGAAGGCGGCCCCCUGGACAAAGACUGACGCUCAGGUGCGAAAGCGUGGGGAGCAAACAGGAUUAGAUACCCUGGUAGUCCACGCCGUAAACGAUGUCGAUUUGGAGGUUGUGCCCUUGAGGCGUGGCUUCCGGAGCUAACGCGUUAAAUCGACCGCCUGGGGAGUACGGCCGCAAGGUUAAAACUCAAAUGAAUUGACGGGGGCCCGCACAAGCGGUGGAGCAUGUGGUUUAAUUCGAUGCAACGCGAAGAACCUUACCUGGUCUUGACAUCACACAGAAACUUACCAGAGAUGGAUUGGUGCCUUCGGGAACUGUGAGACAGGUGCUGCAUGGCUGUCGUCAGCUCGUGUUGUGAAAUGUUGGGUUAAGUCCCGCAACGAGCGCAACCCUUAUCCUUUGUUGCCAGCGGUUCGGCCGGGAACUCAAAGGAGACUGCCAGUGAUAAACUGGAGGAAGGUGGGGAUGACGUCAAGUCAUCAUGGCCCUUACGACCAGGGCUACACACGUGCUACAAUGGCAUAUACAAAGAGAAGCGACCUCGCGAGAGCAAGCGGACCUCAUAAAGUAUGUCGUAGUCCGGAUUGGAGUCUGCAACUCGACUCCAUGAAGUCGGAAUCGCUAGUAAUCGUAGAUCAGAAUGCUACGGUGAAUACGUUCCCGGGCCUUGUACACACCGCCCGUCACACCAUGGGAGUGGGUUGCAAAAGAAGUAGGUAGCUUAACCUUCGGAGCGCUACCACUUUGUU
rnacentral:rRNA from 1 species